rnacentral:rRNA from 1 species
CAUGCUCAGGACGAACGCUGGCGGCGUGCUUAACACAUGCAAGUCGAGCGGUAAGGCCCUUCGGGGUACACGAGCGGCGAACGGGUGAGUAACACGUGGGUGAUCUGCCCUGCACUUCGGGAUAAGCCUGGGAAACUGGGUCUAAUACCGGAUAUGACCUUAGGCUGCAUGGUCUUUGGUGGAAAGGUUUACUGGUGCAGGAUGGGCCCGCGGCCUAUCAGCUUGUUGGUGGGGUAAUGGCCUACCAAGGCGACGACGGGUAGCCGGCCUGAGAGGGCGACCGGCCACACUGGGACUGAGACACGGCCCAGACUCCUACGGGAGGCAGCAGUGGGGAAUAUUGCACAAUGGGCGAAAGCCUGAUGCAGCGACGCCGCGUGAGGGAUGACGGCCUUCGGGUUGUAAACCUCUUUCAGCAGGGACGAAGCGAGAGUGACG